CCCCCCGCCGUGCGUCGGUCGCGGGGUGGCGCUGGAAAAGGCCACGGGGCGAGUGGACACGCUCGUGCACGGUAACGACAUCGUGGCGCGGCUUUCGGAGGCGAAUGCGGAGAUGCUGGUACGGAACGUGAUGCGCAGCAAGGGGUACGGCUUCUCGGUGGCAGCAAAUCC
rnacentral:ribozyme from 13 species